rnacentral:rRNA from 1 species
GACGUAGGGUGCAAGCGUUGUCCGGAUUUACUGGGCGUAAAGGGCGCGUAGGCGGCCACCGCAAGUCGAUUGUGAAAUCUCCGGGCUUAACCCGGAAAGGUCAACCGAUACUGCGGGGCUAGAGUGCAGAAGGGGCAACUGGAAUUCUCGGUGUAGCGGUGAAAUGCGUAGAUAUCGAGAGGAACACCUGCGGCGAAGGCGGGUUGCUGGGCUGACACUGACGCUGAUGCGCGAAAGCUAGGGGAGCGAACGGG